CUUUGACAACCAGGAGGUUGGCUUAGAAGCAGCCACCCUUGAAAGAGUGCGUAAUAGCUCACUGGUCAAGUGAUUCCGCGCCGACAAUGUAACGGGGCUCAAGCACGCCACCGAAGUUGUGGCAUUGACAUUUUUUUGGUAGGCCUUCGUGGUCCAGCCGUGUUGAUGGGUAGGAGAGCGUCGUGUGGCGAGUGAAGCGGCGGGGUGACCCAGCGGUGGACGCUACACGAGUGAGAAUGCAGGCAUGAGUAGCGAAAGACGUGUGAGAAACACGUCCUCCGAAAGACCAAGGGUUCCAGGGUCAAGCUAAUCUUCCCUGGGUAAGUCGGGACCUAAGGCGAGGCCGACAGGCGUAGUCGAUGGACAACGGGUUGAUAUUCCCGUACCGGCGAAGAACCGCCCAAGCUAAUCCAGUGGUGCUAAGAGUCCUAGCUCGGAAUGUUCCGGAUCUCGGGUGGAUGGUCGUCCGUGUGAACGCUCGACCCCAUGCUGGUGCGGCUAGCGUAUUAACAGGUGUGACGCAGGAAGGUAGCCCAAGCCAGGCGAUGGUUGUCCUGGUGCAAGUGCGUAGGCCGACUCUUAGGCAAAUCCGGGAGUCAUUCAGGCUGAGACACGAUGCGGAUAAAAAGUGGGUGAUCCUAUGCUGCCGAGAAAAGCAUCGACGCGAGGUUCUAGCUGCCCGUACCCCAAACCGACUCAGGUGGUCAGGUAGAGAAUACCAAGGAGAUCGAGAGAAUCGUGGUUAAGGAACUCGGCAAAAUGCCCCCGUAACUUCGGGAGAAGGGGGGCCAUCCACUUAUUAGGACUUGCUCCGAAAGGGUGUGGUGGCCG
rnacentral:ncRNA from 1 species